UCUUCACAAUGGACGAAAGUCUGAUGGAGCAACGCCGCGUGAGUGAAGAAGGUUUUCGGAUCGUAAAACUCUGUUGUUGGAGAAGAAUGUAUCUGAUAGUAACUGAUCAGGUAGUGACGGUAUCCAACCAGAAAGCCACGGCUAACUACGUGCCAGCAGCCGCGGUAAUACGUAGGUGGCAAGCGUUGUCCGGAUUUAUUGGGCGUAAAGCGAGCGCAGGCGGUUUCUUAAGUCUGAUGUGAAAGCCUUCGGCUCAACCGAAGAAGUGCAUCGGAAACUGGGAAACUUGAGUGCAGAAGAGGACAGUGGAACUCCAUGUGUAGCGGUGAAAUGCGUAGAUAUAUGGAAGAACACCAGUGGCGAAGGCGGCUGUCUGGUCUGUAACUGACGCUGAGGCUCGAAAGCAUGGGUAGCAAACAGGAUUAGAUACCCUGGUAGUCCAUGCCGUAAACGAUGAGUGCUAGGUGUUGGAGGGUUUCCGCCCUUCAGUGCCGCAGCUAACGCAUUAAGCACUCCGCCUGGGGAGUACGACCGCAAGGUUGAAACUCAAAGGAAUUGACGGGGCCCCCCCACACA
rnacentral:rRNA from 1 species